GAGAGCAACGCCAUGGACGGCUGGGGACAAAAGUGGCUGUUUCCAAGGAGAAGACUUUUGUUUGCUUUUUCAAAUCUCAUACCCAAUGUUUUUCUUCACAGGUUUUGCACACUAGGGACCCAGAAGCCCUCGGGGACACUGCUGAGAAAGGACUACUCGAAAUAAGACCUGUGGGAGAUAUACAAAUAUUUUAGAGAUCAUGGGAUCUAUUCCAGAGGAAACUAACCAACAGUGACAUCUUCAACUAAAACUACCCCUGGAUAUGACGGUUGCAUGCAUCAUUCCUUUAAUUGAGCAGAGUUAACUGGAUCAAAUUAUUUAUGGGAGAGAGAGGGAAAGCUAUACAGAAUUACAGUAAUUUUUAAUUUCCACCAAUAUAUUCUUUACUGAUUGUGUCUGCCCAUGAGCAAAGGAGACCCGAAGGAAGCAAGGGCCUGGCUGGACGGCGUUGUCACGUGACUGCCUGUCUACACUUGCUGUGCAGAACAUCCGCUCACCUGUACAGCAGGCACAGACAGGCAGUCACAUGACAACCCAGCCUGAGGGACAACCAGCCACUGAAAGAGAGCAGCCCUCACACCAUAGCAUCUACACCAAGAGCUACGACCAAAAUGAGGGGCGCGGGGGCCUGGGGGCUGGAUCUGUUGGUUUAAUACUGAAUUCGUAUGUAUGAUUUUAUUAUAUUAUAUUUUGAUUCAAAUACUGAAACCCACCAAAAAGUAAAGUGAGUGGUGCCGAUGAAAUACAAUAAAACCCAUUUCUGAA